AAUAAAGUGGCUGUAUGAUUUGUAGCACCACUAUCAAUGAUCCAAUUCAUUGAAUUAAAAUUUUGCAAGGUGGAUGAUAAACAAAAAGGAGUAGAGAUACUUGGAUAAUUUGCACGAGGAUGAUUUUCACUGUUUCUGAAGAAGGCUUUAAUUUGUGACAAUUCUUCAGGAGUAAAUUAAAGUGAUGAAUCAAAUGUUUGAACUGCCUUUAUGGAUGCUUGAGAGGAUUCAGUUCCUAUUUGAUUUGAAGCAAAUUUACGGAUUCGAUUUGGUGGUUGAACAUCCUUUCCAUGAAACUUGUGUCCAACAGGAAAACCAAUCAAAUAGUAAC
rnacentral:lncRNA from 1 species